AUGGCCCUGAAUGAAGACUGGCAAUUUGUUGUAGUUGUCAGUUUCAAGCAGGAGCCUACAAUAACUUCUUCCUGUGGUCUGUUGGAUCUCUCAUAAUUUGUGUAGAGAUGCCCAAUUCAGUUGGAAGACACAUCC
ensembl:snoRNA small nucleolar RNA, H/ACA box 2A